rnacentral:rRNA from 1 species
AGAGUUUGAUCCUGGCUCAGGACGAACGCUGGCGGCGUGCCUAAUACAUGCAAGUAGAACGCUGAAGGAGGAGCUUGCUUCUCUGGAUGAGUUGCGAACGGGUGAGUAACGCGUAGGUAACCUGCCUGGUAGCGGGGGAUAACUAUUGGAAACGAUAGCUAAUACCGCAUAAGAGUGGAUGUUGCAUGACAUUUGCUUAAAAGGUGCACUUGCAUCACUACCAGAUGGACCUGCGUUGUAUUAGCUAGUUGGUGGGGUAACGGCUCACCAAGGCGACGAUACAUAGCCGACCUGAGAGGGUGAUCGGCCACACUGGGACUGAGACACGGCCCAGACUCCUACGGGAGGCAGCAGUAGGGAAUCUUCGGCAAUGGACGGAAGUCUGACCGAGCAACGCCGCGUGAGUGAAGAAGGUUUUCGGAUCGUAAAGCUCUGUUGUAAGAGAAGAACGAGUGUGAGAGUGGAAAGUUCACACUGUGACGGUAUCUUACCAGAAAGGGACGGCUAACUACGUGCCAGCAGCCGCGGUAAUACGUAGGUCCCGAGCGUUGUCCGGAUUUAUUGGGCGUAAAGCGAGCGCAGGCGGUUAGAUAAGUCUGAAGUUAAAGGCUGUGGCUUAACCAUAGUAGGCUUUGGAAACUGUUUAACUUGAGUGCAAGAGGGGAGAGUGGAAUUCCAUGUGUAGCGGUGAAAUGCGUAGAUAUAUGGAGGAACACCGGUGGCGAAAGCGGCUCUCUGGCUUGUAACUGACGCUGAGGCUCGAAAGCGUGGGGAGCAAACAGGAUUAGAUACCCUGGUAGUCCACGCUGUAAACGAUGAGUGCUAGGUGUUAGACCCUUUCCGGGGUUUAGUGCCGUAGCUAACGCAUUAAGCACUCCGCCUGGGGAGUACGACCGCAAGGUUGAAACUCAAAGGAAUUGACGGGGGCCCGCACAAGCGGUGGAGCAUGUGGUUUAAUUCGAAGCAACGCGAAGAACCUUACCAGGUCUUGACAUCCCUCUGACCGCUCUAGAGAUAGAGUUUUCCUUCGGGACAGAGGUGACAGGUGGUGCAUGGUUGUCGUCAGCUCGUGUCGUGAGAUGUUGGGUUAAGUCCCGCAACGAACGCAACCCCUAUUGUUAGUUGCCAUCAUUUAGUUGGGCACUCUAGCGAGACUGCCGGUAAUAAACCGGAGGAAGGUGGGGAUGACGUCAAAUCAUCAUGCCCCUUAUGACCUGGGCUACACACGUGCUACAAUGGCUGGUACAACGAGUCGCAAGCCGGUGACGGCAAGCUAAUCUCUUAAAGCCAGUCUCAGUUCGGAUUGUAGGCUGCAACUCGCCUACAUGAAGUCGGAAUCGCUAGUAAUCGCGGAUCAGCACGCCGCGGUGAAUACGUUCCCGGGCCUUGUACACACCGCCCGUCACACCACGAGAGUUUGUAACACCCGAAGUCGGUGAGGUAACCGUAAGGAGCCAGCCGCCUAAGGUGGGAUAGAUGAUUGGGGUGAAGUCGUAACAAGGUAGCCGUAUCGGAAGGUGCGGCUGGAUCACCU